rnacentral:tRNA from 1 species
GGAGCUGUAGUUCAAUUGGUAGAAUAGUAGAUUCCAAUUUUUUCUCUUUCCUUCUCUACGAUGGAUGAGGAGUUUCUUGUAUCAUCUAUUGGUCGCAGGUUCGAUUCCUGUCAGCUUCA